rnacentral:rRNA from 1 species
GCAUAUCAAUAAGCGGAGGAAAAGAAACCAACAGGGGAUUGCCCUAGUAACGGCGAAGUGAAGCGGCAACAGCUCAAAUUUGAAAUCUGGCGUCUUUGGCGUCCGAGUUGUAAUUUGCAGAGGGCGCUUUGGCAUUGGCAGCGGUCCAAGUUCCUUGGAACAGGACGUCACAGAGGGUGAGAAUCCCGUACGUGGUCGCUAGCCUUUACCGUGUAAAGCCCCUUCGACGAGUCGAGUUGUUUGGGAAUGCAGCUCUAAAUGGGAGGUAAAUUUCUUCUAAAGCUAAAUACUGGCCAGAGACCGAUAGCGCACAAGUAGAGUGAUCGAAAGAUGAAAAGCACUUUGGAAAGAGAGUUAAAAAGCACGUGAAAUUGUUGAAAGGGAAGCGCUUGCAGCCAGACUUGCCUGUAGUUGCUCAUCCGGGUUUUUACCCGGUGCACUCUUCUAUAGGCAGGCCAGCAUCAGUUUGGGCGGUUGGAUAAAGGUCUCUGUCAUGUACCUCUCUUCGGGGAGAACUUAUAGGGGAGACGACAUGCAACCAGCCUGGACUGAGGUCCGCGCAUCUGCUAGGAUGCUGGCGUAAUGGCUGUAAGCGGCCCGUCUUGAAACACGGACCAAGGAGUCUAACAUCUAUGCGAGUGUUUGGGUGUCAAGCCCGAACGCGUAAUGAAAGUGAACGGAGGUGGGAACCUUUCGGGGUGCACCAUCGACCGAUCCUGAUGUCUUCGGAUGGAUUUGAGUAAGAGCAUAGCUGUUGGGACCCGAAAGAUGGUGAACUAUGCUUGAAUAGGGUGAAGCCGAGAGGAAACUCUGGUGGAGGCUCGCAGCGGUUCUGACGUGCAAAUCGAUUCGUCAAAAUUUGGGCAAUAGGGGGCGAAAGACUAAUCGAACUAUCUAGUAGCUGGUUCCUGCCGAA